GGGAGCUUAGCUCAGCGGUAGAGCACUAUAGGGGUAGUGUAGAGGUCGGAAGUUCGAAUCUUCUAGCUUCCA